rnacentral:rRNA from 1 species
AGUGAACGCUGGCGGUAGGCCUAACACAUGCAAGUCGAACGGCAGCACAGUAAGAGCUUGCUCUUACGGGUGGCGAGUGGCGGACGAGUGAGGAAUACAUCGGAAUCUACUUUUUCGUGGGGGAUAACGUAGGGAAACUUACGCUAAUACCGCAUACGACCUACGGGUGAAAGCAGGGGAUCUUCGGACCUUGCGCGAUUGAAUGAGCCGAUGUCGGAUUAGCUAGUUGGCGGGGUAAAGGCCCACCAAGGCGACGAUCCGUAGCUGGUCUGAGAGGGUGAUCAGCCACACUGGAACUGAGACACGGUCCAGACUCCUACGGGAGGCAGCAGUGGGGAAUAUUGGACAAUGGGCGCAAGCCUGAUCCAGCCAUACCGCGUGGGUGAAGAAGGCCUUCGGGUUGUAAAGCCCUUUUGUUGGGAAAGAAAAGCAGCAGGUUAAUACCCCGCUGUUCUGACGGUACCCAAAGAAUGAGCACCGGCUAACUUCGUG